rnacentral:tRNA from 1 species
CGGGCUGUGGCGCAGUCAGGUAGCGCACUCGUCUGGGGGGCGAGGGGUCGUCGGUUCAAGUCCGACCAGCCCGACCA